rnacentral:tRNA from 1 species
GGGGCUGUAGCUCAGUUGGUAGAGCGCCUGCAUGGCAUGCAGGAGGUCAGGAGUUCAAUUCUCCUUAGCUCCA